rnacentral:rRNA from 1 species
AUUGAACGCUGGCGGCAUGCCCUACACAUGCAAGUCGAACGGCAGCACGGACUUCGGUCUGGUGGCGAGUGGCGAACGGGUGAGUAACAUAUCGGAACAUACCCUAGAGUGGGGAUAACGUAGCGAAAGUUACGCUAAUACCGCAUACGAUCUAAGGAUGAAAGUGGGGGAUCUUCGGACCUCAUGCUCAUGGAUGGCCGAUAUCUGAUUAGCUAGUUGGUGAGGUAAAGGCUCACCAAGGCGACGAUCAGUAGCUGGUUUGAGAGAACGACCAGCCACACUGGAACUGAGACACGGUCCAGACUCCUACGGAGGCAGCAGUGGGGAAUUUUGGACAAUGGGGGCAACCCCUGAUCCAGCAAUGCCGCGUGAGUGAAGAA